CCUACGGGUGGCUGCAGUGAGGAAUAUUGGUCAAUGGACGAGAGUCUGAACCAGCCAAGUAGCGUGAAGGAUGACGGCCCUAUGGGUUGUAAACUUCUUUUGUACAUGAAUAAAACCAGGUACGUGUGCCUGUUUGCAUGUACUUUAUGAAUAAGGAUCGGCUAACUCCGUUCCAGCAGCCGCGGUAAUACGGAGGAUUCGAGCGUUAUCCGGAUUUAUUGGGUUUAAAGGGAGCGUAGAUGGGUUGUUAAGUCAGUUGUGAAAGUUUUCGGCUCAACUGUAAAAUUGCAAUUGAUACUGGCAGUCUUGAGAGCAGUUGAGGUAGGCGGAAUUCGUGGUGUAGCGGUGAAAUGCUUAGAUAUCACGAAGAACCCCGAUUGCGAAGGCAGCUUACUAAGCUGUGACUGACAUUGAUGCUCGAAAGUGUGGGUAUCAAACAGGAUUAGAUACCCCAGUAGUC
rnacentral:rRNA from 1 species